AUCUGGGCGGCGGAAUUCAGGAUGGCGAGCGUGUCGUUUGCGCGGCGCGUUGGUCGUUUGAUAUUUCCGUCGUCGAUCGCAGACGUCGCGACCUGUUCGCGGUCGGUCCCUGCUCGGAGGAGCCGCGUUCGAGUUUGUUGUGUACGCGUUUCGGCGCGUUACACGGCGAAGGCGCGGAUCUCUGGCUGGCCGACGGACAGUACGUUAAACGGUGUCCGAUGUCGUCGUCUCGUACGCGCGCGCAUCGGUACCGGUCGGCGACGAAUUCUUCGGGCCUCUUUCCGACCCGUCUUGAAACACGGACCAAGGAGUCUAACAUGCGCGCGAGUCGCGGGGUGUCGAGCGUACCACGCGUACGUUCGUUACGUUACGAAACCCGUACAUAUCGAAGGCGUAAUGAAAGUAAAUGGGGAAGAUGGUGUACCGAGUACACGUUCCGCGGUCAUUGGUACCGCGGCCGGACACCCGCAUUCCCGGGGCGUCUCAACGGCCCGUCGCGGAUGCGGACAGUCGCCUCUCGGGACGGCUGUCGGUCUGCGACGAACCGA
rnacentral:rRNA from 1 species